CACCUCGUCCUCUUGAGCUAGAUGAUGAUGAUCUUGGCUUCCUCAAGAUGGACCACCUUUCUUGAUUGCGUUGGCUUGAUGAAGACUAGUUGAUUGAUCCCCCAUACUCACUAUGGGUGAGCCACUCUUCCGCAUAUCUUCACAAGUCCAUUGCCACCAUAAUGGACGGCAAGCUUCAAGCAUGAUAUCUUCGUGCUGAUCCACUUGAACUUGCACACCGCAAUCUUGAUGACGAUCACCACUUGACGUCAUCCUUCAUGGGUUGUAUGAGAUCUUCCUCUAGACGCAAGCCCAUGGAAACACACCUAACCCCCACAUAGAACUCUCACAAAGACCAUGGGUUAGUACACAAAUACGUACUGGACAAUGCUUACCAUACCAUGGGAUCACUUGAUCCCUCUUGGUACAUCUUGUACGCUUUGUGUGUCGAUCAUCUUGAUUUACUCUUUGUAUGACGAUCUUGAUCAACCUUGUGUCUCUAUGACCAUUCUUUGGAUAAUACCUUGAAUACCACCUUGGUCAUCAUAUAAACUCCUUAAACCCAACAGAUGGACUUCAAGAAGUGCCUAUGGACAAAUUCUAUAAAUAUAACUUAAGGCAACCAUUAGUACAUAGGAAUUGUCAUCAAUUACCAAAACCACAUAUGGAGAUAUAUGCUCUAACACAAGUGCUCGUUCCUGUUUUUUCCGUGUUUUGACCCUUUUCAUAGGAGGAUUUUAAACGGUGUCCAAACGGAAUAAAACUUCCGAAAAUAUUUUUUCCGGAACAUAAUAUACGCGCCAGACUUGAUAACCAAGGCAGGGGCCAGCAGGGGACCCCACAAGCCCCCUAGGCACGGACAGGGGGGCCGCGCCUAGCAGGCUUGUGGGCCCCUUGUGGCACGUCUGUCCUACCUCUUCUGCCUAUAAAUUGAGAAAAAUUCCAAAACUGCCAAAGAGAUCAACGAAAAUACUUUUCCGCCGCCGCAAGAUUCUGUCUCCGCAAGAUCCCAUCUGGGGCACGUUCUGGUGCCGUGUCGUAGGGGGGAUUCGGAUACGGAGGGCUUCUUCAUCAACGCCAUGACCUCUCCGAUGAUGCGUGAGUAGUUCACCAUAGACCUUCGGGUCCAUAGCUAGUAGCUAGAUGGCUUCUUCUCUCUCUUGGAUCUUCAAUACAAAGUUCUCCAUGAUCUUCAUGGAGAUCUAUCCGAUGUAAUCUUCUUUUACGGUGUGUUUGUCGAGAUCCGAUGAAUUGUGGAUUUAUGAUCAGAUUAUCUAUGAAUCUUAUUUGAGUUUCUUCUGAUCUCUUAUAUGCAUGAUUUCAUAUCCUUGUAAUUCUCUUCGAGUUGUGGGUUUUGUUUGGCCAACUUGAUCUAUGAUUCUUGCAAUGGGAGAAGUGCUUGGUUUUGGGUUCAUACCGUGCGGUGACCUCACCCAGUGACAGAAGGGGUAGCGAGGCACGCAUCGUGUUGUUGCCAUCAAGGGUAAAAAGAUGGGGUUUUCAUCAUUGGUUUGAGUUUAUCCCUCUACAUCAUGUCAUAUUGCUUAAAGCGUUACUCUGUUCGUCAUGAACUCAAUACACUAGAUGCAUGCUGGAUAGCGGUCCACGUGUGGAGUAAUAGUAGUAGAUGCAGAAAGUAUCGGUCUACUUGUCUCGGACGUGAUGCCUAUAUGUAUGAUCAUUGCCUUAGAUAUCGUCAUGACUUUGCGCGGUUCUAUCAAUUUCUCAACAGUAAUUUGUUCACCCACUGUAAUACUUGCUAUUUUGAGAGAAGCCUCUAGUGAACACUAUGGCCCCCAGGGUCUACUUCACACCAUAUUUUCAGCCUUACACUUUUUACUUCGUUGCACUUUCCUCCUUCAGAUCUCACUUUGCAAACAAUCUUGAAGGGAUUGACAACCCCUUUAUAGCGUUGGGUGCAAGCUCUUUUGUGUUGGUGCACGUACUCUGUACUUGACGCGAUUCUCCUACUGGAUUGAUACCUUGGUUCUCAAACUGAGGGAAAUACUUACUGCUCCUGUGCUGCAUCGCCCUUUCCUCUUCAAGGGAAAAACCAACGCAAGCUCAAGAGACAACACAAGGAUUUCUGUCGCCGUAGCAAUGAUCUAUACAUUUCUCCCCCUUAGGCAACAAGUUCCCAAAAAGUUCAAAAGUAUAGAACUACUCGUCUAUCUGGGCAGCUGAUGAUGGAGUCGAGAAAACAGCGUCGGCGAAGGCUUCUGCUGACGUCCUUGGAGCUGGAGGAGUUGAUACUGAAGGAGCUUGAGCUGGAGCUGGUGCUGAAGUUGCUGAAGCUCAUCCUGAAGAUGUAUGUCUUGUCUCCGGAGCAGGAACAACAACUGACUGGGGCCUUUUGCUGAACUGUGUAGUAGUGGGAGGAGGAGACUCAUCCUCGUCAUCAUCAUCUUCAUCUUCAUCCUCUCAGCGUGGAAUCUCCACAUAGUCAACUUCAUGUUGAAGCUGUCUGACAAUGGUGGUCAACUCGGUUACCUUCAUAUCCAUGUUGUGGAAUUUUGUCUACACAACUCUCUCAAGGCUCUUCUGAUUUUGCAUAGUCUCUUGAAUGUUCUUCUCCAUGCCUUAGACAGUGCUCACUAGAAAUGCCAUUUUCUCAGCUUGAGUUCUGAGCUGUGGAACUGGAGGUGGCCUGUUUCUAGCAGCUUCGCCCUCUGAUGCCUAUGUUGCCAUUCUUGCUGCACCUGAAUUGGGAUCAUUGUCAUCCAUCACAACCUCAUUGAAAGGACGUGGAUGUCGCCUAGAGGGGGGGUGAAUAGGUGCUUUAAAAUAAUUAAGGUUUAGGCUUGAACAAAUGCGGAAUAAAACUAACGUUUAAUAUGUCAAGCACAAAACCUCAAACAACUAGGCUCACCUAUGUGCACCAACAACUUAUGCUAAGCAAGAUAAACAACUAAGUGAUAGCAAGAUAUAUGACAAGAGACAAUAUGGCUAUCACAAAGUAGAGUGCAUAAGUAAAGGGUUCGGGUAAGAGAUAACCGAGGUACGCGGAGACGAUGAUGUAUCCCGAAGUUCACACCCUUGCGGAUGCUAAUCUCCGUUGGAGCGGUGUGGAGGCACAAUGCUCCCCAAGAUGCCACUAAGGCCACCGUAAUCUCCUCACGCCCUCGCACAAUGCAAGAUGCCGUGAUUCCACUAUGGGACCCUUGGGGGCGGUCACCGAACCCAUACAAAUGGCAAACCUUGGGGGCGGUCAUCGAACCCGUACACGUGGCAACCCUUGGGGGCGGUUACCGGUACCUGUACAAAUUGCUCGGGGCAAUCUCCACAACCUAAUAUGAGACCCCGACGCUUGCCCGGAGCUUCACACCACAAUGAUUGAGCUCUGAGACACCACCAAGCUUCUAGGACGCCAAAGCAUCCACGAAGAACAAUAUCUAGGGUACUAAGUACCAAAGGUAAUAAGCUUCUCAAACUUCACUUCAACGUAUCACCGUGGAGAACUCAAACCGAUGCAACCAAUGCAAUGGCAAGAACACAUGAAGUGGUCAAGUCCCUCACACUCUAAUCCCUCCACAACAACGAAAGCUAUGGAGAAAUAUGAGAGGAAGAACAAGGAGCUCACAAAGAACUCCAAGAUCUAAAUCCAAGGGGUUCCCCUCACAUAGAGGAGAAAGUGAUUGGUGGAGAUGUGGAUCUAGAUCUCCUCUCUCUUUUCCCUCGAGAAUAAGCAAGAAUCAUUGGAGGGAUUGAGAGUAAGCAAGCUCUAAGAAGGUCAACAAUGGAGAUAGAACAAGAGCUCAACAGAUAGAUAAGGCCAAGGGGGAAGAAGACCCCCUUUAUAUAGUGGGGGAAGGAAUCAGACCGUUACCCCCACUUACAGCCUGAGCCCAGCGGUACUACCGCUGGCUCCAGCGGUACUACCGCUGACCCUUCGACGGUACUACCGCUGGCCGCAGCGGUACUACCGCUGGCUGCAGUGGUACUACUGCUGAGCCCAUGGUAGCGCAAAGAUACUACCGGGCCAACCACUGCCAAGAAAGUCUUCGCAAAAAUGUCCGACACAGUACAACCGCAAAGAUGACGGUACUAAAAACUUGGAGCGGUACUAUCGCUGGCCAGGGGCGGUACUACCGCUGGGACAGCGGUACUACCGCCAGCUCUAGCGGUACUACCGCUAGGUCCAGCGGUACUACCGCUCGCCACUGAAACAGCCAUAACUUUCGCAUACGAGCUCCGAAUCGAGCAAACCCAAGCUUGCUGGAAAUCUUAAGACCAUGCAGAUAUGAAAAUGCCAAUGAUAUAGAGAUGUGAGUCCUCUAUGAAUGAAUAACCGUCAAAAACUCCAACAUCGAAAACAUCAUAGUAGAUGCAUAUGGACUCCGUUUUUGAUGAACUCGAGCUUGUCACGAAGAUGACCAUAAGCUCUAAAACUCACAAAGAGAAACACCAAACAAGAACCAAGAAGUAUGAUGCAAGGAUGCAAAUGGUUUGAGCUCUCAAUGAACGAUACGAUCAAGCUACUCACUUGAGAGCCCCCCUUGAUAGUACAGCAAUCUAUCCUAAACAGAAACCCUAUCAAGGGCAAACCUAUACCUUGCACCUCGUCCUCUUGAGCUAGAUGAUGAUGAUCUUGGCUUCCUCAAGAUGGACCACCUUUCUUGAUUGCGUUGGCUUGAUGAAGACUAGUUGAUUGCUCCUCCAUACUCACUAUGGGUGAGCCACUCUUCAGCAUAUCUUCACAAGUCCAUUGCCACCACAAUGGACGGCAAGCUUCAAGCAUGAUAUCUUCAUGCUGAUCCACUUGAACUUGCACAUCGCAAUCUUGAUGACGAUCACAACUUGACGUCAUACUUCAUGGGUUGUAUGAGAUCUUCCCUUUGACGCAAGCCCAUGGAAACACACCUAACCCCCACAUAGAACUCUCACGAAGACCAUGGGUUAGUACACAAACACGUAGUGGACAAUGCUUACCAUACCAUGGGAUCACUUGAUCCCUCUCGGUACAUCUUGUACGCUUUGUGUGUUGAUCAUCUUGAUUUACU
rnacentral:lncRNA from 1 species